GCAAAACAUUAAGAGGUCUGAGAAGCAGAAAUAUUUAAACAGAAUCAGAAAAGAGGAAGAUGAUAUUUUAUAUAAGGGUCUGCUGACUUCCCUCCAUACCAUUGGUACCCAGAGAAGAAUAGCUCCUCUGUUUUCCUGCCUGCCUGCAGAUUCAUCCUGUGCUCCAUUCAGCUGGCGUUAAGGUCUGCUAACUGCUGCUGUACAACUUAGCUUUUAUGCUCUACUGACGGGUUUUCUGAAGCCAGACGGUUUCUGAAAAGAGGGCCUAUUUGCAUAAACAAUGCCAUGUGAAGAGGUCUACUGGAAACAAAAUCAAAAUUCACUCAAGCAAAUCUUCCCGAUCAACUCAUUUUUUUUUUUUUUUGCAACUAACACCUCCUAUAGUUACCAUCUGUAUGUUAAAAUGUGACUGAGAGUUGGAACAAUUUUUUUCCCUCCAUUUCCUUUGUGUCCGGUUUUAUGAAACAAGCCAAAAACAUAUUUUAUUUUCUGACUUAGUCCGAGCAGAAUCCAUAAAUAGGCUGUGGUAUGUGGAAUGAGGAAUGCGUUGUGUGUUAAAGGAGGGCAGGGGGCCAGCUAUGCAUCAGCUAGCCAGAGCCUUCCAUUAGAUUUGCCAUAGGAGCUGCAUCAAAAUGCACAUCCCAGCCAGGAGCCACCCAUCCACAGGCUCUGUGAUUUCAGGUCACCAAAUGCAGAGCUGCGUCAGCACUGGGGAUCACAGUGGGGAACGCACAUCUCUGCUCCUUCCAGUACUUUCCUUAGUUUCCGAUCCACAGAAAUAGACCAAAAGAUGGUAGCAAGCUUAAAACAGGCUAGAGCGGGCAUUUUGAACGAGGCUGCAUAAACAAACUAAAGAGGAACAUUAUUAAACCAGUCACAUCCAUAGAAAACCAUGAAUGAUUUCUUAAACAUCUUAAAGCACAUUCAGUUUUAAAGGGGGUGCUUAAUGGCAAUACUAAGAAUUUUUCACUUAAUAAACAUCCUCAGGUUAAAAGCAUGUGCUUAAUCAAGCAGGAACUGCUAGACUCUCCUAUCUGAAACAAUGGAUGUAAUUUGAUUUAAAUCUUUCUUUUGCCUUUUGGAGAGGGUUAAUAUUAUGACUUGGUGGAUACAGAGAAAAAGCAGAAAUUCUUCCAGCAUCUUUUUUCCUUUUGUUUUCCCUUGUCUAGUAUCAAACAUAAUCCAUUUGGCUUCCUGGAUUGCCCAAUCUAGAGUGCUUCGUUUCUCUCCUUAAAAAUGUCAUGAUUGUGGCCUAUUAAUAGUACUUCCCAUAAAAAAGAUACGACUUCUUCGAAAAACGGCUGACUCCAGGUCUAGGGCAGGAAGCAUACAAAAUGAACAUGGAUAUCUUGUCACACAAAAAGAUUUAGCAGCCAAACUGGGUAAACUCUCUCAAGCCAAAGAUGAAAUAAAUUUCACCAUCAGUAAAGCCAAAAUCUACCUUGGCAUAAAGAUCAAAUAUGCUUAAAUUUGUGCAUUUAUAAUGAUACUUAAAAAAAACUAAUUGAUCACCUUUGGAGGAUGCUAAGAAACCAUUUCAUCCUUAUGAGAACUAACUAGUAAGUAAAAAGAAAGAUGAAAACAAUUUUCUCACCUUUUCUAUAUAAUCGGUAACCCAGGGGAACUGAAGAGUUGAAGAGCGGAAGUUCUCGUUACGGAAAUAAUGAAUUUAAAAUGUGUUGCCCUUAUGAAACAAGAAGUCUGGCACAGAUCUGGAGUUGUUGAUGUAUUACCUCCUAAUGACACUCUUGAGUGAAAGCACCUUUGAGGGUCAUCUAGUCAAAACAAACCAACGAAUAAAAAGCAAACCUGAAAGUGAAUCUUCCCAGGUCUUUAGAUGUAAGAGAUGCAAGGGACCGAGGAAUAUGACAAAUUACACCAUAGGGAUAAAAUGAGGAAAAUCUGGGCUAUGCAAAACUCCAUAGGGCAAAUGAUCUAAGUUUUCAACCAAAAAAGUUGCAAUUAGGGCCAAAUGUAUCCAAAAGAGGCUUAAGAGACAUAGGUUCCUAUCUCCACACAGGGACCUUACUUGGAUCUCAACUGACAUGUGUCUGUUAAUGAAUUAAUUGGUCAAAUGGAACUAAAUGAAAAUAAAAAUUAAAGUAAAUUAAUAAUAAGACAAUCAGGCAAAUGUGAACUUGACUCGAUAUUUGGUGAUAUUAAGAAAUUAUAAGUGUGAUUAAGAUAUUGUGGCUAUGAAUUUAAACAAUGAUCCUUAAGUUUUGGAAAAAUUUACUGAAAUAUAUACAGAUGAAAUAAUAUUCUGUCUGGGCUUGGCUGAAAAAUAAUCAGGGAGGCAGCAGGAUGUUUGCAUGAACAGGGUUGAAACAAGGUGAGCCAUGAAUUGAUAAUUAUUGAAGUUGAGUGAUGAAAAAACCAACUUCAUCAUACUAUUUGCUCUACUUGUGUGUAUGUUUAAAUUUUUACUUAAUGAAAACUAUUUUCAAAAAUGGAUAGUAAGGUUCACUUACAAAGUGGUCCUACAAAAACAGGUACUGUUUUCCCCACCAAAAAUUUAGAAAACAUUAAGUCCCCAUGACUAAGAUAUGGAAUUGGGUUAGAAAUGGGGGAAGCAGAUGGUCUAGACAAAUAAUUGCCAAACUUGGGGCCGGGCGCGG
rnacentral:lncRNA from 1 species